GGCCCAGUGGCUCAGUGUUUACACGUUAGGCUUCAGACCAAGGGAUCCCUGGUUCGAAUCCUGGCUAGGGCA
rnacentral:tRNA from 1 species